GAUGAACGCUGGCGGCGUGCUUAACACAUGCAAGUCGAACGGAAAGGCUCCUGCUUGCAGGGGUACUCGAGUGGCGAACGGGUGAGUAACACGUGGGUGAUCUGCCCUGCACUUCGGGAUAAGCCUGGGAAACUGGGUCUAAUACCGGAUAGGACGAUGGUUUGGAUGCCAUUGUGGAAAGUUUUUUCGGUGUGGGAUGAGCUCGCGGCCUAUCAGCUUGUUGGUGGGGUAAUGGCCUACCAAGGCGUCGACGGGUAGCCGGCCUGAGAGGGUGUACGGCCACAUUGGGACUGAGAUACGGCCCAGACUCCUACGGGAGGCAGCAGUGGGGAAUAUUGCACAAUGGGCGCAAGCCUGAUGCAGCGACGCCGCGUGGGGAUGACGGCCUUCGGGUUGUAAACUCCUUUCGCUAGGGACGAAGCGCAAGUGACGGUACCUGGAGAAGAAGCACCGGCUAACUACGUG
rnacentral:rRNA from 1 species